ACUUUACAAAGUGUGAAGAAUGCCUUGGGACUUCCUCGUCGUUUUGGGUGGAAUGAGGAUCCAUGUCUUCCCCAACAACAUCCGUGGAGCAGAGUGGAUUGCCAAUUUAACAAAAACAUUGGCACGUGGGUCAUUGAUGGGCUGCGAAGUUCUUGGCAUUCUUGGUCAUCAAACCGUGGGCUUUAGAUUUUGUGGUUCAUGACUACAUUCUCAUGCCAUUUCUAGACAAGUUUACCCAUCCUAUUUGGUGGACAUUGAAAGGGACUACUUGGCCUUAAGCAAGUGGUAUCCAAAAUUAUCAAUAUCCCCGGAAUUCACCAAGAUUGUUCUGCACUGGCCAAAGGGAAACCUGAAUCUGUCAUUACACACUCUUGUUAGGUAUAUUCUUUUUUUAAGUUGCCCUGCUACAGUGCAAUGUAGUUUGUCAUCGGCCUUCUUUCUAUUGGCUGCGCAGUUAGUUCUGCUUAUGUGUUGGGGGAGAGUUCGGAAAUGGAGCUAUUUUUUAUGGGAUUAAGAUUAGAUUUUUAUGCUUCUGGAUUUCUUUAUGGCAGAAACUUUUUAGAGUAAACAGUUUAUUGUUUCUGUUUGUGACCUCAUUGAAGUAGAUGCAUAAGUGAAUUUCAAUGGUCGAAGUGCCCCAAUACAAGUAAAUGCAACUAGGAGCACUAUAACAUGUAGUGCUCUGAGAGCACCAAAGCAUUUCAACCCAAUAUAAGAAGGUCAUUGGCUUGGAUGUAUUACCCUGGUAGAUGGUGAUCUGAAGUUUGAAUUUUGCAGGCAUCAGAGCAUGGGUUUAGCAAUGGUGCAGUCGAAAGAACAGAUUGUGAGGAUGAAAGUUUUAAGACAAUAAAUGACUUCCUGGUGAGUCAUUGGUCUUUUUCUUUUCUUCUUGCCUUCUUCACCUACUUUGUGUUUAUCUAUGAAUUAGAGAUGUCUAAUGAGUAGGACCGCAUGCAUCCUUUGAUCAUGUUUUGAUAGUCCAUCCGAAUGUUCUAAUUUUUCAGAUAUAUAAGCCUCUUCACAUCGUGCUCCCCCAAAUCAAUUGUUCCAAUUUCCCUAGAAGUGCUU